rnacentral:lncRNA from 1 species
CUCGCUCAGUGGGUUGAGGAUCCGGCAUUGCCGUGAGCUGUGGUGUAGGCUGCAGACUUGGCUUGGAUCCCGGGUUGCUGUGGCUCUGGUGUAGGUCAGCUCCGAUUGGGCUCCUAGCCUGGGAACCUCCAUAUGCUGCGGGUUCGGCCCCCAAAAAUGGCAAAAAAGACAAAAAAAAAAAAAAGUGCAUGAAAAAAUUGGGGAAAAAAAAGUGCAGAGUUCCCGUUGUGGCUCAGGGGAAAUGAAUCUGAUUAGCAUUCAUGAGGACACAGGUUUGAUACCUGGCCUAACUCAGUGGGUUAAGGAUCUGGCAUUGCCGUGAGCUGUGGUGUAUGUAGGUUGCAGACACAGCUCGGAUCCCACGUUGCUGUGGCUGUGGUGUAGGCUGGCAGCUGUAGCUCCAAUUUGACCCCUAGCCUGGGAACCUCCAUAUGCCAAAGGUGUGGCCCUAAAAAGAAAAAAAGAAUUGGAAAAAAAUAAAACGUUUAAGAAGGUUAAAAAAAAAAAGAGAAAGAAACAGAAACAGAAGUGCCUGGCGAGGAUGUUCAUGAAGGGUCCCCGGGGGCCGUGGGAGGGGAUGCUCUGAAAGUCGUGUCCAGGAUCUGACCUUGGACGGGGAGGGGCAGGAAGAGGAAAGCCAACUUUCUGCAAGCCUCGGGUGUGGCUGUCCUGUGUCCUCACCACCCUGCAGCCGUGCCUGGCCCGCAGAGGGCGGGGUCAUCAGGGGGUAGGUGGGGAGACCCAGCAGAGCCCAACAGCUGAGUUUUGGCUUCUGCCUGUUUUCAGAGACCUGGAGGCGAAACUGUGUGUUGAAGAUGCCCAGAGGCGGUGUGGGAAUUUGCAGAGGGAUUGGAGAGGGAGCUCCAGAUAUUACAGCGUUGGCCUCAAGAAACGAGCUCUCUGAAGGAUCAUCGUGUCAGCCUUAUUUCUUCGAUCGUGGCUCUCUCGUGCACCAGUUGCUGUACCAACCGCCCUGAUUUUAUGGCCAGCCUUAGACAUGUGAGAUUCCAAUUGACUGUGAGGCCCUGGAGGCGCCGGCAGGCAGGUGCCUGCCCACAGCAGCAGGGCGCCCUUAUUUUCCAGUCCGCCUCUCAAGGACAAACGUAAACCCUCCAAGAACACCGGUGGAGGGGCGGCCCUCUGAGUGCCUGGAGUCACUGUUAGUAUCCUCAGAAUACUGUCCGGGGUGGGGGGGGGCUAUGAGAGGGGGAUGGUACCAUCUGGGGCAUCCUGUGGGGUCCCUUACACGAAACACGUAUCCAGGCAUGGCUCGCGGUAACCAUCCUGGGACCUGAAUGCUCGUAUCGACACCUGUUCUAUGGGGUUACACAGUUUUAAUCUCAGAGGAAUUGUCUCUUGACAUUAAACUGUCCAAACAGUAUUUAUACCUGCGGCUGCCCUGCAAAAUCGCUUAACCCCGCACGGCCGUUUAAAAGUAGUUAAUGACAGAAGCGGCCUCACUGGCCCCUCCUGAGUGAUGGCUGGAGUUCGACCUGGGCUGUCAUGGUUUAUGGAGGAAGGCGGUUUGUCCAUAGUCGGCUUCAACCACAGCAGGUAAUUUGAAAUGAAAUGAGACAGUUUCUACAAGCAGAUUGAUUUGGGAAUCUUGCCUGCUCUUCCCUUUGACCCUUGACAAGUUGACACUCCAAAGAUUGUGACUUUAAAAAAUGAUGGG